UUGACCUCGGAUCAGGUAGGGAUACCCGCUGAACUUAAGCAUAUCAAUAAGCGGAGGAAAAGAAACCAACAGGGAUUGCCCUAGUAACGGCGAGUGAAGCGGCAACAGCUCAAAUUUGAAAUCUGGCUCUUUUAGAGUCCGAGUUGUAAUUUGCAGAGGGCGCUUUGGCGUUGGCAGCGGUCCAAGUUCCUUGGAACAGGACGUCACAGAGGGUGAGAAUCCCGUACGUGGUCGCUAACCUUCGCCGUGUAAAGCCCCUUCGACGAGUCGAGUUGUUUGGGAAUGCAGCUCUAAAUGGGAGGUAAAUUUCUUCUAAAGCUAAAUACUGGCCAGAGACCGAUAGCGCACAAGUAGAGUGAUCGAAAGAUGAAAAGCACUUUGGAAAGAGAGUCAAAUAGCACGUGAAAUUGUUGAAAGGGAAGCGCUUGCAGCCAGACUUGCCUGUAGUUGCUCAUCCGGGCUUUUGCCCGGUGCACUCUUCUGCGGGCAGGCCAGCAUCAGUUUGGGCGGUUGGAUAAAGGUCUCUGUCAUGUACCUCUCUUCGGGGAGGCCUUAUAGGGGAGACGUCAUGCAACCAGCCUGGACUGAGGUCCGCGCAUCUGCUAGGAUGCUGGCGUAAUGGCUGUAAGCGGCCCGUCUUGAAACACGGACCAAGGAGUCUAACAUCUAUGCGAGUGUUUGGGUGUCAAGCCCGAGCGCGUAAUGAAAGUGAACGGAGGUGGGAACCCUUUAGGGUGCACCAUCGACCGAUCCUGAUGUCUUCGGAUGGAUUUGA
rnacentral:rRNA from 1 species